rnacentral:rRNA from 1 species
UACGAGUGCCCCAAGUGUUAUCCGGCAUUAUUGGGCGUAAAGGGUGUGUAGGUGGUCCUGUUAGUCUCCUGUCAAAUUCUUCGGCUUAACCGGGGGUCCGCAGGGGAAACGGCAGAACUAGAGGAUGAGAGAGGUAUAGGGAACUCAUGGUGUAGGGGUGAAAGCCGUUGAUAUCAUGGGGAACACCAAAAGCGAAGGCACUAUACUGGCGCAUUCCUGACACUGAAACACGACAGCGUGGGUAGCGAAUGGG